GGAAUUUUGCGCAAUGGGCGGAAGCCUGACGCAGCAACGCCGCGUGGAGGAAGAAGGCCCUCGGGUCGUAAACUCCUGUCCAUGGGGAAGAUGGUGACGGUACCCUUGGAGGAAGCCCCGGCUAACUCCGUGCCAGCAGCCGCGGUAAUACGGAGGGGGUUAGCGUUGUUCGGAAUUACUGGGCGUAAAGCGCACGUAGGCGGAGUGGAAAGUAUGGGGUGAAAUCCCAGGGCUCAACCCUGGAACGGCCUUGUAAACUCCCAGUCUAGAGUUCGAGAGAGGUGAGUGGAAUUCCAAGUGUAGAGGUGAAAUUCGUAGAUAUUUGGAGGAACACCAGUGGCGAAGGCGGCUCACUGGCUCGAUACUGACGCUGAGGUGCGAAAGUGUGGGGAGC
rnacentral:rRNA from 1 species